UACGGGGGGGGCAAGCGUUGUUCGGAAUUACUGGGCGUAAAGGGCUCGUAGGCGGCCAACUAAGUCAGACGUGAAAUCCCUCGGCUUAACCGGGGGAACUGCGUCUGAUACUGGAUGGCUUGAGGUUGGGAGAGGGAUGCGGAAUUCCGAGGUGUAGCGGUGAAAUGCGUAGAUAUCUGGAGGAACACCGGUGGCGAAGGCGGCAUCCUGGACCAAUUCUGACGCUGAGGAGCGAAAGCCAGGGGAGCAAACGG
rnacentral:rRNA from 1 species